AACUGAAAGCUGAGAAUGACUAACAUUCCUUAUCCACAACCUGAGGUUUUGCAAACUAAUGAUAAAGUUUUAACCACAUUUGAAGGUGAUGCUAUUAAGUUAACAGAAAUCAGUGAAAGUGUUCAAAGAGAGGACAUAACAGGGACAUGGGAGAAUUUGUGGGUCACUGUUUCAAGUGGGAAGAACAAGAAGCCAAUUCUGCAGGAUCUUACGGGUUAUGCACGGCCAGGAAGGAUUCUUGCCAUAAUGGGCCCUUCAGGAUGUGGAAAAUCUACACUUCUUGAUGCUUUAGCAGGAAGAUUGAGCUCAAACAUGAAGCAAACAGGGAAGAUUCUAAUCAAUGGCCAGAAGCAAGCACUGGCCUAUGGCACAUCAGGCUAUGUAACUCAAGAUGAUGCUAUGCUGUCAACUUUAACCACUGGAGAAACUUUAUACUACUCAGCUCAGCUCCAGUUUCCAGAUUCCAUGUCCAUAGCAGAGAAGAAGGAACGCACAGAUAUGACAUUGAGAGAAAUGGGUCUGCAAGAUGCCAUCAACACAAGGGUUGGAGGGUGGGGUUCUAAAGGCCUCAGUGGGGGACAAAAGAGGAGACUUAGCAUUUGCAUUGAGAUUCUAACACGCCCGAGACUUCUCUUCCUUGAUGAACCAACUAGUGGACUUGACAGUGCAGCUUCAUAUUAUGUCAUGAGUAGAAUUGCAACUCUAAAUCAAAGGGACGGAAUUCGAAGGACUAUUGUUGCAUCCAUCCAUCAGCCUAGCAGUGAAAUUUUUGAACUUUUCCAUGAUCUUUGUCUUUUGUCUUCUGGUGAAACAGUAUAUUUUGGUCCAGCCUCUGAUGCAAAUCAGUUUUUUGCUUCAAAUGGUUUCCCUUGCCCAACUCUCCACAAUCCUUCUGAUCACUACUUAAGGAUCAUAAACAAAGAUUUUGAACAGGAUGCUGAAAAAGGCCUUGGAACGGGAGUAACUUCAGAAAAAGCAAUUGAUACCCUUGUAAAGUCUUACAAGUCGUCUCAAAUUAGAAAACAAGUUAAAAAGGAAGUGGAUAAAAUAGGUGAAAGUGAUUCUGAUGCAAUAAGGAACCAGAGGAUUCAUGCUGCAUUUCCCACUCAAUGCCUUGUUCUUAUAAGAAGAGCUUCCUUGCAGUUGUUUCGUGACAUAAGCAAUUACUGGUUACGUUUAAUUGUCUUCAUUGUAAUAGCUAUAAGCAUCGGCUCUAUCUUCUAUGACAUAGGCACAAGUAAUGGAUCUAUUCAGGGGAGAGGUUCGCUGCUCAUAUUUUUUGUUUCAGUUCUGACUUUCAUGACCCUUGUUGGUGGAUUCUCUCCACUUUUGGAAGAAAUGAAGGUAUUUGAACGAGAGAGAUUGAAUGGGCACUAUGGCGUCACGGCAUUUCUCAUAGGCAACAUAUUCUCUGCUGUUCCUUACAUGCUAUUGAUCUCUCUUAUUCCUGGUGGAAUAGCAUACUACCUUUGUGGGAUGCACAAAGGACCAGAACGGUUCUUCUACUUCACUUCUUUGCUAUUUGCCAUAGUGAUGUGGGUUGAGAGCCUUAUGUUGGUUGUAGGGAGUAUCUGCCCCAAUUAUGUAAUAGGCAUGUUCCUUGCUGGUGGAGUUGAAGGACUCAUGAUCUUAACAGGUGGAUUCUAUAGACUUCCAAAUGAUCUUCCCAAACCACUAUGGAAAUACCCUUUAUACUAUGUUUCCUUCCUCAAGUAUGCAUUCCAAGGAUCAUUCAAGAAUGACUUUGAAGGCUUAACAUUUUCUGUUGACCAAGAUGGAGGAGGCAUCAUGAGUGGUAGAGAAGUACUAACUGACACAUGGCAUUUGGAAAUGGGUUACUCUAAGUGGGUUGAUCUUGCUAUCAUGUUUGGAAUGAUUGUUCUGUAUCGAGUUUUGUUCUUGGUCAUCACUAAGUGCAAGGAGAAAAUGAAGCCUUUUCACUAGAAUCAAUAUUGAUCAGGAUGCACUCAAAUUAGUCUCAUCGAAAUGGGAGAACAGAAUGACAUUACGCUGACAUGGGAGAAUUUGGAAGCUACUGUUACAAAUGGAAAGAACCGAAAACUAAUUCUUCAUGGGCUUACAGGUUAUGCCCAGCCAGGGAGACUUUUGGCUAUAAUUGGUCCUUCUGGCAGUGGCAAAUCCACACUUCUUGAUGCUUUAGCAGGAAGAUUGACAUCAAACAUAAAGCAAACAGGGAAGAUUCUAAUCAAUGGCCACAAACAAGAACUGGCUUAUGGAACAUCAGGCUAUGUAACACAAGAUGAUGCUAUGCUGUCAUGUUUAACCGCUGGGGAAACUUUAUACUACUCAGCUAUGCUCCAAUUUCCAAACACCAUGUCUGUAGAAGAGAAGAAGGAACGAGCAGAUAUGACACUGAGAGAAAUGGGUCUACAAGAUGCCAUCAACACAAGGGUUGGAGGGUGGAAUUGUAAAGGCCUCAGUGGGGGACAAAGGAGGAGACUUAGCAUUUGCAUUGAGAUUCUAACACACCCAAAACUCCUCUUCCUUGAUGAACCAACUAGUGGACUUGAUAGUGCAGCUUCCUAUUAUGUUAUGAGUGGAAUUGCAAAUCUAAUUCAAAGGGAUGGAAUUCAAAGGACUAUUGUUGCUUCCGUCCAUCAACCUAGCAGUGAAGUUUUCCAACUUUUCCAUGACCUUUUUCUUCUCUCUUCCGGAGAGACAGUAUAUUUUGGUCCUGCCUCUGAUGCAAAUCAGUUUUUUGCUUCAAAUGGUUUUCCUUGCCCACCUCUAUAUAAUCCUUCUGAUCACUACUUAAGGAUCAUAAACAAAGAUUUCAACCAGGAUGCUGAUGAAGGAAUUACUACUGAAGAAGCAACUAAAAUCCUUGUCAAUUCUUAUAAAUCUUCUGAAUUUAGCAAUCAUGUUCAGAGUGAAAUCGCAAAAAGUGAAACCGACUUCGGUGCAUGUGGGAAGAAGAAGAAAAUCCACGCUGCAUUCAUUACUCAGUGCCUAAUCCUUAUAAGAAGAGCUUCACUGCAAAUCUAUCGUGACACAAACAAUUAUUGGGCACGUUUAGUUGUCUUUAUCUUCAUAUCUUUAAGCGUGGGCUCUAUCUUUUAUCACAGUGGCGGCCCGGAUUUGCGAUCGAUUAUGGAUAGAGGAUCGCUGCUUUGUUUUUUCGUUUCAGUUGUGACUUUCAUGACACUUGUUGGUGGAAUCUCUCCAUUAAUCGAGGAAAUGAAGGUGUUUAAGCGAGAGAGACUGAAUGGGCACUACGGUAUUACGGCUUUUCUCAUAAGCAACAUAUUCUCUGCUGUUCCUUACAAUUUUUUGAUGUCAAUCAUUCCGGGAGCUGUGGUUACUUAUCUUUCUGGACUACACAAAGGAGUUGAUAACUUUGUAUUCCUUGUUUCUGUUUUAUUUGCUACCGUGACUUGGGUUGAGAGCCUUAUGAUGGUUGUUGGGAGUGUUUUUCCAAACUAUGUCAUGGGCGUGAUCGUAUGUGGAGGAAUUGAAGGAGUCAUGAUUUUAACAAGUGGAUUCUAUCGACUUCCAAAUGAUCUUCCCAAACCAGUGUGGAAAUUCCCUUUCUACUACAUUUCCUUCCUCACCUAUGCUUUCCAAGGACUGUUAAAAAAUGAAUUUGAAGACUUGCCAUUUUCUUCGGAAGUUCUAGCUGACACUUGGCACGUGCAAAUGGGUCACUCUAAGUGGGUUGAUCUUGCUAUCAUGUUUGCCAUGAUUGUUCUGUAUCGAGUUCUAUUCUUGGCCAUCAGUAAGUGCAAGGAGAAAUCAAAACAAGUUAGUGUUGGCAUUAAACCCGAAACUAAAAUUUUCUCCAGAAUCAACAUCAGUGAACUCCAAAUGAGGGGAAUUGAUGAUCAUAAUGCUGUCUAAGCAGUAGUUCGACUUCAGCUCGGGGUUAACAGUCUCUACGUUACUAUUGUUAAGCUUCUUUUAAAGUGAAAAAAAAAGAGUGUGAAUUUAUAGUUUUCUUUUUGUUGUACAAUAGUCCUAACAAGGUUAAAACCUAGAACCUUGUGUAGACUACCCAGACACUGCAUUAAGCCAACCCUAAUGGGUUAAAUAACAAAUUGAAUGAAAUAGAAAAGUAAGAAUGUAUCAAACUAUCAAUAGUACUGGUAACAUGGUUAAAACCUAGAAUCUUGUGUAGGCUACCCAGACCUUUCCUUAUUAGACCGACCCUGAUGUGUUAAAAAACAAACUGUAUGAAAUGAAAAAUAAGGAUGUACUCAAAUUAGUUAAUGAUGUUAUUCAAGAUUAUAAGGUGCUUUAGUUUUAUAUAUAUAAAUCCUCAUUUGAUAUCUUCA